CUUUCUUUGCUGACGAGCGGCGGACGGGUGAGUAAUGCCUGGGAAAUUGCCCUGAUGUGGGGGAUAACCAUUGGAAACGAUGGCUAAUACCGCAUGAUGCCUACGGGCCAAAGAGGGGGACCUUCGGGCCUCUCGCGUCAGGAUAUGCCCAGGUGGGAUUAGCUAGUUGGUGAGGUAAUGGCUCACCAAGGCGACGAUCCCUAGCUGGUCUGAGAGGAUGAUCAGCCACACUGGAACUGAGACACGGUCCAGACUCCUACGGGAGGCAGCAGUGGGGAAUAUUGCACAAUGGGCGCAAGCCUGAUGCAGCCAUGCCGCGUGUAUGAAGAAGGCCUUCGGGUUGUAAAGUACUUUCAGUCGUGAGGAAGGGGGUAUCGUUAAUAGCGGUAUUCUUUGACGUUAGCGACAGAAGAAGCACCGGCUAACUCCGUGCCAGCAGCCGCGGUAAUACGGAGGGUGCGAGCGUUAAUCGGAAUUACUGGGCGUAAAGCGCAUGCAGGUGGUUUGUUAAGUCAGAUGUGAAAGCCCGGGGCUCAACCUCGGAGUUGCAUUUGAAACUGGCAGGCUAGAGUACUGUAGAGGGGGGUAGAAUUUCAGGUGUAGCGGUGAAAUGCGUAGAGAUCUGAAGGAAUACCGGUGGCGAAGGCGGCCCCCUGGACAGAUACUGACACUCAGAUGCGAAAGCGUGGGGAGCAAACAGGAUUAGAUACCCUGGUAGUCCACGCUGUAAACGAUGUCUACUUGGAGGUUGUGGCCUUGAGCCGUGGCUUUCGGAGCUAACGCGUUAAGUAGACCGCCUGGGGAGUACGGUCGCAAGAUUAAAACUCAAAUGAAUUGACGGGGGCCCGCACAAGCGGUGGAGCAUGUGGUUUAAUUCGAUGCAACG
rnacentral:rRNA from 1 species